rnacentral:rRNA from 1 species
GAUGAACGCUAGCGGCGUGCCUAAUACAUGCAAGUCGAGCGGACCAAAGAGAGCUUGCUCUCUGAGGUUAGCGGCGGACGGGUGAGUAACACGUGGGUAACCUGCCUGUAAGACGGGGAUAACUUCGGGAAACCGAAGCUAAUACCGGAUGAUAAAGAGAAACGCCUGUUUCUUUUUUGAAAGUCGGCCUUGUGCUGACGCUUACAGAUGUGCCCGCGGUGCGUUAGCUAGUUGGUGAGGUAACGGCUCACCAAGGCGACGAUGCGUAGCCGACCUGAGAGGGUGAUCGGCCACACUGGGACUGAGACACGGCCCAGACUCCUACGGGAGGCAGCAGUAGGGAAUCUUCGGCAAUGGACGAAAGUCUGACCGAGCAACGCCGCGUGAGCGAUGAAGGCCUUCGGGUCGUAAAGCUCUGUUGUCAGAGAAGAACAAGUACCGGAGUAACUGCCGGUACCUUGACGGUACCUGACCAGAAAGCCACGGCUAACUACGUGCCAGCAGCCGCGGUAAGAC